UGGGGAAUCUUCCGCAAUGGGCGAAAGCCUGACGGAGCAACGCCGCGUGAGUGAUGAAGGUCUUCGGACUGUAAAACUCUGUUGUCAGGGACGAAGGUGCGCUUUGCGAACAGUUAAGCGUAUUGACGGUACCUGACGAGGAAGCCACGGCUAACUACGUGCCAGCAGCCGCGGUAAUACGUAGGUGGCAAGCGUUGUCCGGAAUUAUUGGGCGUAAAGAGCAUGUAGGCGGACUUUUAAGUCUGGCGUGAAAAUGCGGGGCUCAACCCCGUAUGGCGUUGGAUACUGGAAGCCUUGAGUGCAGGAGAGGAAAGGGGAAUUCCCAGUGUAGCGGUGAAAUGCGUAGAUAUUGGGAGGAACACCAGUGGCGAAGGCGCCUUUCUGGACUGUGUCUGACGCU
rnacentral:rRNA from 1 species